GACGAACGCUGGCGGCGUGCUUAACACAUGCAAGUCGAACGGUGAAGCUCCAGCUUGCUGGAGGGGAUCAGUGGCGAACGGGUGAGUAACACGUGAGCAACCUGCCCCUGACUCUGGAAUAAGCGCUGGAAACGGCGUCUAAUACUGGAUACGAGAAGGGUCCGCAUGGGCACUUUCUGGAAAGUUUUUCGGUUGGGGAUGGGCUCGCGGCCUAUCAGCUUGUUGGUGAGGUAAUGGCUCACCAAGGCGACGACGGGUAGCCGGCCUGAGAGGGCGACCGGCCACACUGGGACUGAGACACGGCCCAGACUCCUACGGGAGGCAGCAGUGGGGAAUAUUGCACAAUGGGCGAAAGCCUGAUGCAGCGACGCCGCGUGAGGGAUGACGGCCUUCGGGUUGUAAACCUCUUUCAGCAGGGAAGAAGCGAAAGUGACGGUACCUGCAGAAGAAGCACCGGCUAACUACGUG
rnacentral:rRNA from 1 species